UUUCGGGUGUUAGUGGCGGACGGGUGAGUAACGCGUGAGAAUCUGCCUUUAGGUUCGGGACAACCAUUGGAAACGAUGGCUAAUACCGGAUAUGCAGCGAUGUGAAAGAUAUAUUGCCUAAAGAUGAGCUCGCGUCUGAUUAGCUAGUUGGUGGGGUAAAGGCCUACCAAGGCGACGAUCAGUAACUGGUCUGAGAGGAUGAUCAGUCACACUGGAACUGAGACACGGUCCAGACUCCUACGGGAGGCAGCAGUGGGGAAUUUUCCGCAAUGGGCGAAAGCCUGACGGAGCAAUACCGCGUGAGGGAGGAAGGCUCUUGGGUUGUAAACCUCUUUUCUUAGGGAAGAACAAAAUGACGGUACCUAAGGAAUAAGCAUCGGCUAACUCCGUGCCAGCAGCCGCGGUAAUACGGAGGAUGCAAGCGUUAUCCGGAAUGAUUGGGCGUAAAGCGUCCGCAGGUGGUUUUGUAAGUCUAUUGUUAAAGCGUCUGGCUCAACCAGAUAUGGGCGGUAGAAACUACAAGACUAGAGUCCGUUCGGGGCAGAGGGAAUUCCUGGUGUAGCGGUGAAAUGCGUAGAGAUCAGGAAGAACACCGGUGGCGAAAGCGCUCUGCUAGGCCGGAACUGACACUGAGGGACGAAAGCUAGGGGAGCGAAUGGGAUUAGAUACCCCAGUAGUCCUAGCCGUAAACGAUGGAUACUAGGCGUGGCUUGUAUCGACCCGAGCCGUGCCGUAGCUAACGCGUUAAGUAUCCCGCCUGGGGAGUACGCACGCAAGUGUGAAACUCAAAGGAAUUGACGG
rnacentral:rRNA from 1 species